CCUACGGGAGGCAGCAGUGGGGGAUAUUGCACAAUGGGGGGAACCCUGAUGCAGCGACGCCGCGUGAGUGAAGAAGUACCUCGGUAUGUAAAGCUCUAUCAGCAGGGAAGAAAAUGACGGUACCUGACUAAGAAGCCCCGGCUAAAUACGUGCCAGCAGCCGCGGUAAUACGUCUGGGGCAAGCGUUAUCCGGAUUUAUUGGGUUUAAAGGGUGCGCAGGCGGAGGUGCAAGUCAGCGGUCAAAUUGCGGGGCUCAACCCCGUACUGCCGUUGAAACUGCAUCCCUUGAGUGAGCGAGAAGUAUGCGGACUGCGUGGUGUGGCGGUGAAAUGCAUGGAUAUCACGCAGAACUCCGCUUGCGACGGCAGCAUACCGGCGCGCAACUGACGCUCAUGCACGAAAGCGUGGGUAUCGAACAGGCUUCGCUACCCGUGUAGU
rnacentral:rRNA from 1 species